rnacentral:tRNA from 1 species
GGGCCGGUAGCUCAGCCUGGAAAGCGCUCGGCUUGGGCAGUAGAGCAUCCGGCUUUUAACCGGAUGGUCGCGAGUUCGAAACACGAGUGAGAAAAUCUCGUCCGGCCCA